ACACACACACAGAGACGGAUGUGCAUGAGAUCACUGUUGAUUAAAACUGUGAGUUAUUGCUGAAAGAGAAACAACUAUAAAUGUGAUAAAUUGAGCGGAUAUCCAUACCGGAAAUCUGCAAGGAUUUCGGAGGGACGAACUUGGGUGAACUUUUUGAACUUCGGAAUCAACGCGAUCUGCACGGGUGUGGAUGAAGCGGACAGGAUCUUCUCUAAGAGUGAACAUUUGAAGCGCGCUGGCUAGGUUUUUGUGGGACCGUGAGAUCUGGAUUUCUUCCUGACGAGGAAGAUGGCGAGCCUUUCUUUUUGAAUCGAACCGGAGCCAUUCCGAGUUGGCCCAGAAGGGCAGGUCGCUCUUCUUUCAUGAACAAUCACAACAGUGCGGUAGGACGAAAUCGCACCAAUCACAGACUU